rnacentral:pre_miRNA from 1 species
AUUGGAUCAUGUGGUACAUAUAUGGAUGUUUAACUUUUUAAGAAACUUCCAAACUGUUUUACAAAGUAAUUGUUCCAUUUUACAUUUCUGUUGCCAGU